rnacentral:rRNA from 1 species
AGUGAACGCUGGCGGUAGGCCUAACACAUGCAAGUCGAACGGCAGCACAGUAAGAGCUUGCUCUUACGGGUGGCGGGUGGCGGACGGGUGAGGAAUACAUCGGACUCUACUUUUUCGUGGGGGAUAACGUAGGGAAACUUACGCUAAUACCGCAUACGCCCUACGGGUGAAAGCAGGGGAUCUUCGGACCUUGCGCGAUUGAAUGAGCCGAUGUUGGACUAGCUAGUUGGCGGGGUAAAGGCCCACCAAGGCGACGAUCCGUAGCUGGUCUGAGAGGAUGGUCAGCCACACUGGAACUGAGACACGGUCCAGACGCCUACGGGAGGCAGCAGUGGGGAAUAUUGGACAAUGGGCGCAAGCCUGAUCCAGCCAUACCGCGUGGGUGAAGAAGGCGUUCGGGUUGUAAAGCCCUUUUGUUGGGAAAGAAAAGCAGCAGGUUGAUACGCCGCUGGUCUGACGGUACCCAAAGAAUAAGCACCGGCUAACUUCGUG